UUUAGAUGAUUAAAACUUAAUUUGGUAUUAAAAUUCAUCCCAUACUAUUAAAUAAAAUGAAGCUGGGGUAAAAAUAUAUAGAGAUAUGCUUCUGCGUUCUUCGAUGAGAUCGUAGAAAAUAUAUCGUAACUGAUUCGUCAUGAUUUGCGAAAUACAAUAUUAUGUACGGAAAUAAAAAAUAUAUUUUUCAAUCAUACUUUCUCACCGCACGUAAUAUAAUCUCUCUAUAAUUCCAAACGAAGCAAAAGAUGAUAAAAUAAAAUAUAUAAAUUCUACUUUAACAGAAUAAAUAUUUAGAUAUAAUAUUAUUUUUAUUUAUUAAAAUAUUUAUUAUUUAAUAUAAAUUAUACUUUUACAUCAUACAUUUCCUACCAAACAAACAGCAGAACUAAUCAAACUUCACUUCCAUAACUACGAAGCAAGCAGUGGGGAAGAAGUAGUUUUUACCGAGCUCCACUUCAACCCAAAGUCCACUUCAGACCAAAGUCCAGUUUCGGUGAAACAAACACGCCCGAUGUAAAUUCUUGAGCCUUUCCUUCUU
rnacentral:lncRNA from 1 species